rnacentral:rRNA from 1 species
CCUACGGGGGGCAGCAGUAGGGAAUAUUGCUCAAUGGUGGAAACCCUGAAGCAGCAAAGCCGCGUGGAGGAUGAAGGUUUUAGGAUUGUAAACCCCUUUUGUUAGAGAAGAUUAUGAUGAUACCCAACGAAUAAGCACCUGCUAACUCCGUGCCAGCAGCCUCGGUAAUACGGAGGGUGCAAGCAUUACUCGGAAUCACUGGGCGUAAAGGGUGCGUAGGCGGGGUAAUAGGUCAGAUGUGAAAUCCUGUAGCUUAACUACAGAACUGCAGUUGAAACUGUUACUCUGGAGUGUGAGAGAGGUAGGUGGAAUGCGUGGUGUAGCGGUGAAAUCCAUAGAGAUCAAGAAGAAUACUCAUUGCGAAGGCGACCUGCUGGAACCUUACUGACGCUGAUGCACGAAAGCGUGGGGAGCGAACAGGAUUAGAUACCCGAGUAGUC